rnacentral:rRNA from 1 species
CAGUAGCCGCGGGAAAACGUAGGGUGCAAGCGUUAAUCGGAAUUACUGGGCGUAAAGCGUGCGCAGGCGGUUUGUUAAGACAGAUGUGAAAUCCCCGGGCUCAACCUGGGAACUGCAUUUGUGACUGGCAAGCUAGAGUAUGGCAGAGGGGGGUGGAAUUCCGCGUGUAGCAGUGAAAUGCGUAGAUAUGCGGAGGAACACCGAUGGCGAAGGCAAUCCCCUGGACCUGUACUGACGCUCAUGCACGAAAGCGUGGGGAGCAAACAGGAUUAGAGACCCCCGUAGUCCCUGUCUCUUAUAC